UACGUAGGGGGCAAGCGUUGUCCGGAAUCAUUGGGCGUAAAGAGCGUGUAGGCGGCCAGAAAAGUCCGCUGUGAAAACUCGAGGCUCAACUUCGAGCUGUCGGUGGAAACUUUCUGGCUAGAGUCCGGAAGAGGAGAAUGGAAUUCCUGGUGUAGCGGUGAGAUGCGCAGAUAUCAGGAAGAACACCCGUGGCGAAGGCGGUUCUCUGGGACGGUACUGACGCUGAGACGCGAAAGCGUGGGGAGCGAACAGG
rnacentral:rRNA from 1 species